UGGCGGACGGGUGAGUAAUGUCUGGGAAACUGCCUGAUGGAGGGGGAUAACUACUGGAAACGGUAGCUAAUACCGCAUAACGUCGCAAGACCAAAGAGGGGGACCUUCGGGCCUCUUGCCAUCGGAUGUGCCCGGAUGGGAUUAGCUAGUAGGUGGGGUAAAGGCUCACCUAGGCGACGAUCCCUAGCUGGUCUGAGAGGAUGACCAGCCACACUGGAACUGAGACACGGUCCAG
rnacentral:rRNA from 1 species